GAAAUAUUAAAAAUAAAGCUUCUAACUUUAUAAUAAGAUAAUUUAUUAAUCUAUAUUUCU
rnacentral:tRNA from 1 species